UACUGAGUGGCAGACGGGUGAGUAACAUGUGGGAAUCUGCCUUGUGGUUCAGGACAACAUUGGGAAACCGAUGCUAAUACUGGAUAAGCCCUUACGGGGAAAGUUUUAAUGCCAUAAGAUGAGCCCGCAUUUGAUUAGUUAGUUGGUGAGGUAAUGGCUCACCAAGACAAUGAUCAAUAGCUGAUCUGAGAGGAUGAUCAGCCACACUGGGACUGAGACACGGCCCAGACUCCUACGGGAGGCAGCAGUGGGGAAUCUUGCACAAUGGAGGAAACUCUGAUGCAGCGAUGCCGCGUGAGUGAAGAAGGCCUUUGGGUUGUAAAGCUCUUUUGUAGGGGAAGAUAAUGACUGUACCCUAAGAAUAAGGUCCGGCUAACUUCGUGCCAGCAGCCGCGGUAAUACGAAGGGACCUAGCGUAGUUCGGAAUUACUGGGCGUAAAGCGCGCGUAGGCCGUUGAGUUAGUUAAUUGUGAAAUCCCAAAGCUUAACUUUGGAACUG
rnacentral:rRNA from 2 species